AGGUGAUUGACAGCUGUGUUCACCUAUUGGAGAGUAGGGCUCUCUAUUUAAAGGCUGAUUGGCUGAAGCCGUGUAUGUGUCACGUCUGAUUUCCCUCCCCUUGUGUCUCUUGAUGGUCGUUACAGUGUGUGUUGGCUCCGAUGCUGGUGCCUGUUAGCACUGUUCCAUGGAUUUUAAAAGUGCUAGUCUCUCCGGUUGACUCCCUGUAUGCCAGGGCACUGGUGGCUGCCAUGACAGCUGUAUGCCAGUGUCCGUAAGGUGUCAUGCCUGGCGUAAGAAGCGGAUUCUCCCUCUCGUUCCGGGCUGUGAUUACCUCUUCGCGCUGUUUUUAGCGCUGCUAUUUAGCUUGCAGUGCGCACGUGUUGACAUCAUUAAAGGGUGCUGCUGGUGUCCGGUCAACCUUUUAAUAUCGCACAAUAUAGUGCUCAAAUCCAUAUGUGUUGGGGACAUGAACGUUUUUGGUUUAAAGAUUAAAUGAUGCUCUGAAUGAGCUCUGUGGUUCCCCUAUCCAACCUCUUUAAUUAUUUUGUUUCUUUUGUUUAUUUUUGUAUUUAUACUUUGUUUGCUGCACGUGACUCCUCAUCGUUGUAACGUGCCCGGGUGUAUGUGUGGCCUAUUGAACCUAGUAACACACUGUGACAGAGGGGAGUGGAGCUGGGGUCCCACGGGUGACAGGAAUUUCUACGGUGGUGGUGCUUCUCAUCGUGUGCUGUGUAACAUCUUGUGUGUUUCGUAGUGUGAUUUGAGUGCACUUUGGUGUGUGUGGUUGUGUGGAAGUGUGCUCUGCUCAAACUGAAUUCUGUCCUCUGCCGUUGGGAGCCUCAGCCCUGCUGGUAACAUUCUCUUUUCUUUAUUUGUUUUGAUUUAACCUUUUUGUUAUAAUUAAAAUUGUGUCUUUUCCUUUUAAGGGGAAAGAAUGAGUACUUGGUGUGUCUUUUUAAUCUAGUGUUUUUAAAUAUUUGUAUCAAUAAAAUUAUGUAACAUUUUGCAUUAUA